GGUUGGAGUGAAGUCUGUUAUUCUUAGUGUUGGAUGGGAUUUAUGAGUUUUGAGCAAUCUUUUAAGAGUGCAGGAUUGCACACUGUUGUUAUCAGUUGAUGAAGGAAUAUUAUUCCUAAAAGGAAGCAUUGUAGUGUUUCUUGGUGUUUUAGUGGUUUGAAAUAUAAUUAAUUGUGUGACCCUAACUAGUAAAGCUUAUGUGCUUAGUCUUUCCCUGUGUUCGAAUUUCCCUAUACAAGUUUAUUCUAAAAGGAAUUUAUAGAAUAAGUAAAAUAAAAAUUACAAUUAUCAAAGAUGGAGAAAUUAAUAUUAGAGCCAAAUAAGAUUGAGUUAUUUUUAUAAGCUACUAAUAGAGAGUUAUAAGAAAAAUUGGAGUUUUUUCUUGAAGUCAAAUGAAAAGAUGAAGGAUUAAUAAUGAAGUAAAAAAAUAUUGAAGAUUUAGUGGAUUUUCUUGCAAAAAAAAAUAAAAUAAAGGAUAGGGUUAAUAAUCCAAGAGUAGUAUAAGUACCUAAAAUUUAAGUGCAUACAAUACAACUAUCAAUGCUUAUUUUUUAAUUUCCAAUUUUUACAACAAAAAAAUAAGAUAUGAAAAUAGAAGAGAUUAUAUGUGGAAUAUCGGAUCUUCAAAU
rnacentral:lncRNA from 1 species